rnacentral:misc_RNA from 1 species
GAUGAAGAACGCAGCGAAAUGCGAUAAGUAAUGUGAAUUGCAGAAUUCAGUGAAUCAUCGAAUCUUUGAACGCACAUUGCGCCCCCCAGUAUUCUGGCGGGCAUGCCUGUUCGAGCGUCAUUUCAACCAUCAAGCCCUGCUUGUGUUGGGGUCCUGCGGCUGCCCGCAGGCCCUGAAAACCGGUGGCGGGCUCGCUAGUCACACCGAGCGCAGUAGCACAUCUCGCUCAGGGCGUGCGGCGGGCUCCAGCCGUUAAAGCACCCACCUUUCGCAAGGUUGACCUCGGAUCAGGUAGGAAUACCCGCUGAACUUAAGCAUAUCAAUAAGCGGAGGA